rnacentral:lncRNA from 1 species
UAUAUAUAUAUAUAUAUGUACAGUAGUUUAUAAUUCAAAUAUUAUAUUGUUUGUAAGUUCAUCUUUGAAAGAUUACAAAGUGAAUUUUUAACUUUUACAAGGUUAAUUUUUUAGGAUGAAAGAUUCAUAAGUGUAGUGAAUUUUUAACUUUUACAAGGUUAAUUUUUUAGGAUGAAAGAUUCAUAAGUGUGUUAUUUAAAUUAAUUUUCUAAAUACAUUGAAAGUUCUGAAAGUUCAGAGACUACCGGAUAUAAGAACUAAAACACAAGAUACCAAGAACGCUUUCUUGUAUAUUAGAAAUCUUUUAAACAAUCUUCCUAGAUCUGUUUAAUCCGAAUUACUCUCAGUCACACACGACUAGAGACGGAUCAAUUCUUAAUCUAUCAGAACAGAAACCACGAGCUACACCUACAAGUACUCAUCUUUCUUAAGCUCUCAA